rnacentral:rRNA from 1 species
UGCAAGUCGAACGGGAUCCAUCAGGCUUUGCUUGGUGGUGAGAGUGGCGAACGGGUGAGUAAUGCGUGACCGACCUGCCCCAUACACCGGAAUAGCUCCUGGAAACGGGUGGUAAUGCCGGAUGCUCCGACUCCUCGCAUGGGGUGUCGGGAAAGAUUUCAUCGGUAUGGGAUGGGGUCGCGUCCUAUCAGGUAGUCGGCGGGGUAACGGCCCACCGAGCCUACGACGGGUAGCCGGCCUGAGAGGGCGACCGGCCACAUUGGGACUGAGAUACGGCCCAGACUCCUACGGGAGGCAGCAGUGGGGAAUAUUGCACAAUGGGCGCAAGCCUGAUGCAGCGACGCCGCGUGCGGGAUGACGGCCUUCGGGUUGUAAACCGCUUUUGAUCGGGAGCAAGCCUUCGGGUGAGUGUACCUUUCGAAUAAGCACCGGCUAACUACGUGCCAGCAGCCGCGGUAAUACGUAGGGUGCAAGCGUUAUCCGGAAUUAUUGGGCGUAAAGGGCUCGUAGGCGGUUCGUCGCGUCCGGUGUGAAAGUCCAUCGCUUAACGGUGGAUCUGCGCCGGGUACGGGCGGGCUGGAGUGCGGUAGGGGAGACUGGAAUUCCCGGUGUAACGGUGGAAUGUGUAGAUAUCGGGAAGAACACCAAUGGCGAAGGCAGGUCUCUGGGCCGUUACUGACGCUGAGGAGCGAAAGCGUGGGGAGCGAACAGGAUUAGAUACCCUGGUAGUCCACGCCGUAAACGGUGGAUGCUGGAUGUGGGGCCCGUUCCACGGGUUCCGUGUCGGAGCUAACGCGUUAAGCAUCCCGCCUGGGGAGUACGGCCGCAAGGCUAAAACUCAAAGAAAUUGACGGGGGCCCGCACAAGCGGCGGAGCAUGCGGAUUAAUUCGAUGCAACGCGAAGAACCUUACCUGGGCUUGACAUGUUCCCGACAGCCGUAGAGAUAUGGCCUCCCUUCGGGGCGGGUUCACAGGUGGUGCAUGGUCGUCGUCAGCUCGUGUCGUGAGAUGUUGGGUUAAGUCCCGCAACGAGCGCAACCCUCGCCCUGUGUUGCCAGCACGUCAUGGUGGGAACUCACGGGGGACCGCCGGGGUCAACUCGGAGGAAGGUGGGGAUGACGUCAGAUCAUCAUGCCCCUUACGUCCAGGGCUUCACGCAUGCUACAAUGGCCGGUACAACGGGAUGCGACACGGCGACGUGGAGCGGAUCCCUGAAAACCGGUCUCAGUUCGGAUUGGAGUCUGCAACCCGACUCCAUGAAGGCGGAGUCGCUAGUAAUCGCGGAUCAGCAACGCCGCGGUGAAUGCGUUCCCGGGCCUUGUACACACCGCCCGUCAAGUCAUGAAAGUGGGUAGCACCCGAAGCCGGUGGCCUAACCCUUUGUGGAUGGAGCCGUCUAAG